rnacentral:rRNA from 1 species
GACGAACGCUGGCGGCGUGCCUAAUACAUGCAAGUAGAACGCUGAAGGAGGAGCUUGCUUCUCUGGAUGAGUUGCGAACGGGUGAGUAACGCGUAGGUAACCUGCCUGGUAGCGGGGGAUAACUAUUGGAAACGAUAGCUAAUACCGCAUAAUAGUAGAUGUUGCAUGACAUUUGCUUAAAAGGUGCAAUUGCAUCACUACCAGAUGGACCUGCGUUGUAUUAGCUAGUUGGUGGGGUAACGGCUCACCAAGGCGACGAUACAUAGCCGACCUGAGAGGGUGAGCGGCCACACUGGGACUGAGACACGGCCCAGACUCCUACGGGAGGCAGCAGGAGGGAAGCUUCGGCAAUGGACGGAAGUCUGACCGAGCAACGCCGCGUGAGUGAAGAAGGGUUUCGGAUCGUAAAGCUCUGUUGUAAGGGAAGAACGAGGGUGAGAGUGGAAAGUUCACACUGUGACGGUAUCUUACCAGAAAGGGACGGCUAACUACGUG